rnacentral:rRNA from 1 species
GUGGGGAAUCUUGCGCAAUGGGCGAAAGCCUGACGCAGCCAUGCCGCGUGAAUGAUGAAGGUCUUAGGAUUGUAAAAUUCUUUCACCGGGGACGAUAAUGACGGUACCCGGAGAAGAAGCCCCGGCUAACUUCGUGCCAGCAGCCGCGGUAAUACGAAGGGGGCUAGCGUUGCUCGGAAUUACUGGGCGUAAAGGGCGCGUAGGCGGACAGUUUAGUCAGAGGUGAAAGCCCAGGGCUCAACCUUGGAAUUGCCUUUGAUACUGGCUGUCUUGAGUACGGGAGAGGUGAGUGGAACUCCGAGUGUAGAGGUGAAAUUCGUAGAUAUUCGGAAGAACACCAGUGGCGAAGGCGACUCACUGGCCCAAUACUGACGCUGAGGCGCGAAAGCGUGCGGAGCAAACAGGAUUAGAAACCCUAGUAGUCC